GAGUUUGAUCUUGGCUCAGAAUGAACGCUGGCGGCAUGCCUAACACAUGCAAGUCGAACGAAGGCUUCGGCCUUAGUGGCGCACGGGUGCGUAACGCGUGGGAAUCUGCCCUUGGGUUCGGAAUAACAGUUAGAAAUGACUGCUAAUACCGGAUGAUGUCGUAAGACCAAAGAUUUAUCGCCCAAGGAUGAGCCCGCGUAGGAUUAGCUAGUUGGUGGGGUAAGGGCCCACCAAGGCGACGAUCCUUAGCUGGUCUGAGAGGAUGAUCAGCCACACUGGGACUGAGACACGGCCCAGACUCCUACGGGAGGCAGCAGUGGGGAAUAUUGGACAAUGGGCGAAAGCCUGAUCCAGCAAUGCCGCGUGAGUGAUGAAGGCCUUAGGGUUGUAAAGCUCUUUUACCCGGUACUGAUAAUGACAGUACCGGGAGAAUAAGCUCCGGCUAACUUCGUGCCA
rnacentral:rRNA from 1 species